rnacentral:rRNA from 1 species
AGUGGCGAACGGGUGAGUAAUAUAUCGGAACGUGCCCAGUCGUGGGGGAUAACGUAGUGAAAAUUACGCUAAUACCGCAUACGAUCUAAGGAUGAAAGCGGGGGAUCGCAAGACCUCGCGCGACUGGAGCGGCCGAUAUCAGAUUAGGUAGUUGGUAGGGUAAAGGCCUACCAAGCCAACGAUCUGUAGCUGGUCUGAGAGGACGACCAGCCACACUGGAACUGAGACACGGUCCAGACUCCUACGGGAGGCAGCAGUGGGGAAUUUUGGACAAUGGGCGAAAGCUUGAUCCAGCCAUUCCGCGUGCAGGAUGAAGGCCCUCGGGUUGUAAACUGCUUUUGUACAGAACGAAAAGGUUUCUAUUAAUACUAGGAGCUCAUGACGGUACUGUAAGAAUAAGCACCGGCUAACUACGUGCCAGCAGCCGCGGUAAUACGUAGGGUGCAAGCGUUAAUCGGAAUUACUGGGCGUAAAGCGUGCGCAGGCGGUUAUAUAAGUCAGAUGUGAAGUCCCCGGGCUCAACCUGGGAACUGCAUUUGAGACUGUAUAGCUAGAGUACGGUAGAGGGGGAUGGAAUUCCGCGUGUAGCAGUGAAAUGCGUAGAUAUGCGGAGGAACACCGAUGGCGAAGGCAAUCCCCUGGACCUGUACUGACGCUCAUGCACGAAAGCGUGGGGAGCAAACAGGAUUAGAUACCCUGG